GGAAUGAACCACAACUGCUCUGUGAAUUAGGUAGUUUCACGUUGUUGGGAAUUCAUUUUUAACACGCAAGAACAUAAAACUACCUGGUUUACGCCAGUUUACUC
rnacentral:pre_miRNA from 1 species